AUUGAACGCUGGCGGCAUGCUUUACACAUGCAAGUCGAACGGCAGCGCGGGCUUCGGCCUGGCGGCGAGUGGCGAACGGGUGAGUAAUGCAUCGGAACGUGCCCAGUAGUGGGGGAUAGCCCGGCGAAAGCCGGAUUAAUACCGCAUACGACCUGAGGGUGAAAGCGGGGGACCGAAAGGCCUCGCGCUAUUGGAGCGGCCGAUGUCGGAUUAGCUAGUUGGUGGGGUAAAGGCUUACCAAGGCGACGAUCCGUAGCUGGUCUGAGAGGACGACCAGCCACACUGGGACUGAGACACGGCCCAGACUCCUACGGGAGGCAGCAGUGGGGAAUAUUGCACAAUGGGCGCAAGCCUGAUGCAGCGACGCCGCGUGGGGGAUGACGGCCUUCGGGUUGUAAACUCCUUUCGUCAGGGACGAAGCGAAAGUGACGGUACCUGGAUAAGAAGCACCGGCUAACUACGUG
rnacentral:rRNA from 1 species